UACGGAGGGAGCUAGCGUUAUUCGGAAUUACUGGGCGUAAAGCGCACGUAGGCGGCUUUGUAAGUCAGAGGUGAAAGCCUGGAGCUCAACUCCAGAACUGCCUUUGAGACUGCAUCGCUUGAAUCCAGGAGAGGUGAGUGGAAUUCCGAGUGUAGAGGUGAAAUUCGUAGAUAUUCGGAAGAACACCCGUGGCGAAGGCGGCUCUCUGGUACGUGACUGACGCUGAGACGCGAAAGCGUGGGGAGCAAACAGG
rnacentral:rRNA from 1 species